CGCCGCCCGUGCCCCGCGCGCUCCUCCGCUCCGCGCCGCUCCCCGACGACAUGCUGUGCUGCGGCCUGGCCUGCGAGCGCUGCAGGUGGAUCCUACCCCUGCUCCUGCUCAGCGCCAUCGCCUUCGACAUCAUCGCGCUGUCCGGCCGCGGCUGGCUGCAGUCGAGCAACCACCUGCAGACGUCCUCGCUGUGGUGGCGGUGCUUCGACGAGGGCGGCGGCAGCGGCUCCUACGAUGAUGGCUGCCAGAGCCUCAUGGAUUACGCGUGGGGAAGAGCGGCGGCAGCCAUGCUCUUCUGUGGCUUUAUCAUCCUCUGUAUCUGCUUCAUCUUGUCCUUCUUUGCCCUCUGUGGACCCCAGAUGCUCGUCUUCCUCAGAGUGAUUGGAGGCCUCCUGGCCCUGGCGGGUAAGACCACGCGGCAGUCAGUCUUCAUUCAUCCCCAGUGA